ACCAGGCAGCAGCUGCCCUUAAUGGUUUUAAAAGUAACUAUUUCUGGUAGAAUAGAAGGAUAUUUAAAUUAUGAUAUGUCAUGUUAUGAAAUGUCAGUGUAAGGCAGUGAAUAAUUCUAUUGAUUAAUCAUGAAAUAACAGGAAAAUAUGAAGUAAAAGAACUUCCAUAAGAUAGAAUAUAUUUUAAAAUGAAAAUUCAAAAUCCUAAAAUUGACUCUGGAAACCAGAUUUCAUUUAACUCAUUUUAACCAGCUCCUAAUUGUUGUUUUCCUUCACAUUUCCAUUUAUUGGGAAACUGCUGAAAUAUUUGGUUUUAUCCUUAGAUCAACUCCAGACUUCAAAACAUUAAAAUUUGAUGAGAAAAGAAGUUCAGAGCUUUAAUCAGCUGUAAAAUGAAUGUGUGCUGCUGGACUACAGUUGCAAGAUGAUCUUGGCAUCUGGUGAAGUCAAACUACUUUCUGUGUGUCUAGUAGAUAGCGCCCUGUGCAGUUUAAGUGAAUGGAGGGUGCUGACAAUCCCAAACCCUCUGUAUACAUGGGAAAUGAGCUGCUGAUCUGAGCAGAUAAGGGUUGUAGCUUCCAGGAUGACCACAAAAUUUGCUUAGCUUCAUCUCUGAGUGCUGGGGCCACUACCUGUCCCUGCCUGCAUAGCAGUGAGAAGACAGGAGUGUUACCUCUGCAGCCUUGGGUCCUUGUUCUCAUUUGCUUGGAAGCAAGACAGAACGAGCAAUUACUGUCAGCUGCUUCACAAUUGAAAUGAGGGACCGGCCUUCUGAACUGUUCCAGGAGAUGGAGCAGAGCAGUGCACUUUACCUUGAUGAAGAACCUUCCUGAAGUUUAUAUAUGGUCUCACAGUAGUGUGAAAGAUGACUGUAGGGAAGUUAUUUUAAAUGAGAGGAAAAAGUUUGCUUACAGCAACACGAGCCCUAUAACAGACCUGUUUAAUCCUCAGCACCUUGUCUACCGCUACUGUGAACAAGAAGAAGCAGAAAGCUGUCCACCUUGGUUGCUGCUGCUGUUGGUUUGACAGUUCUUGGCAUGACUGGCUUUCCCAGAGGAGCAGCAGCCCAACUAUUUAUACUGUGGUUGUGUCUACAGUAGCAUUCUUGAGGAAAUCUCCCAUCGUUAGACUGCUGGCAGAGACAGUAACAGUGGGAGAACUCACGCUGUCAGGGCAUUGGAGCUUUUAACCAUCAAACUGGCUAACCCUCUGGGUAUUCUUUGUGCCUCUCUAAGUAAAAAUGAAGGCAAGCAAUCCAAUUCAAGCUGAAUGCAGCUUUACUUUUCUCACCUUGUUUUCUGGGUCCACUUCACUGGUUCAGUGCACACUAGUAUAUAAGCCUUACUGAAUUC